AUUGAACGCUGGCGGCAGGCUUAACACAUGCAAGUCGAGCGGAGAUGAGGUGCUUGCACCUUAUCUUAGCGGCGGACGGGUGAGUAAUGCUUAGGAAUCUGCCUAUUAGUGGGGGACAACAUUCCGAAAGGAAUGCUAAUACCGCAUACGUCCUACGGGAGAAAGCAGGGGAUCUUCGGACCUUGCGCUAAUAGAUGAGCCUAAGUCGGAUUAGCUAGUUGGUGGGGUAAAGGCCUACCAAGGCGACGAUCUGUAGCGGGUCUGAGAGGAUGAUCCGCCACACGGGGAAUGAGACACGGCCCAGACUCCUACGGGAGGCAGCAGUGGGGAAUAUUGGACAAUGGGGGGAACCCUGAUCCAGCCAUGCCGCGUGUGUGAAGAAGGCCUUAUGGUUGUAAAGCACUUUAAGCGAGGAGGAGGCUACUGAGACUAAUACUCUUGGAUAGUGGACGUUACUCGCAGAAUAAGCACCGGCUAACUCUGUGCCAGCCGCCGCGGUAA
rnacentral:rRNA from 1 species